GGCGGCGUAGCUCAGUUGGUUAGAGCGUGGGACUCAUAACCCCAAGGUCGGUGGUUCGAAUCCACCCGCCGCUACCU
rnacentral:tRNA from 1 species